rnacentral:misc_RNA from 1 species
AACGCACAUUGCGCCCUUUGGUAUUCCGAAGGGCAUGCCUGUUCGAGCGUCAUUAUCACCCCUCAAGCCCUGUGCUUGGUGUUGGACGGCCUGGUCGAGCUACGCUGGACCCCUCCGAAAAAUAAUGACGGCGGCCUGUGGAUCCCCCGGUACACUGAGCUUUUAACUGAGCACGUAUCGGAUGAGGGCGCCCAGGCCACGGUCCUCUCCUUGCCAAAAGGAAACUUUCUCAAGGUUGACCUCGGAUCAGGUAGGAAUACGCGCUGAACUUAA